UAACAAGAAAUGAAAAAAUCAUUUUCGGUUUCGACCCGUAUAUAUUGGUGUUAAUACACCCUGUUCA
rnacentral:tRNA from 1 species